GGAAGAUGAGCCUCGCCGCCACAUUCAUUAGGGACUGUAACGGCGCUAGUUGGGAACAUGUAAGACCACUGAGAAGCGGCUUACAGUAGUCAAGGCGAGAAAGGACAGUGGAAUGGACUAACACCUUAGUUGCAUCUGGCAUUAAGUAGGGGCAGAUGCACGCAAUGUUUUUGAGAUGGAAAUUACAGGAUUUGGUGAUAGAUUGAACAUGAGGCUUGAAGGAGAGGUCGGAGUCAAAGAGAACACCUAG